CAUGCACAGGUUGAGUUUGGUGAAUGAAGAAAAAGAAAAGUUUUUAAUUCUUAUAUAUGUUUGUUGAUCAUGUAUGGGAUUAAACAGGUAAACAGGAUGUAUGUAGGCUUGCUACGGGUUCCGGCGGCCUUAAGCCGACCUGAAUCCUAGCGCCGGUAGCGGUCCGGAUUUCCGGGGCGUUACAAGCAGCUUCAGGCAGUAAAAGGUGGGCUAAUACCACCAAGAAGCCAAAGAAGAACAAGUUCUGGAAUAAGAUAAAGUCAGGUCUGGGAUUAGGAAGUGGCUCGAGCUCAGGUGCAGAUAGUGCAGUAUGUAUAAGGUGUGGUAAGCCACACAAGGGAGUACGUCGAUAUGGGACGACGGCCUGCUUCAGAUGUGGGCAAGAGGGACACAUGGCACGGGAGUGUCCUAGGGUACCUUUCAUGGCACAAUCCCAGCAGACAACUUCUGGUAGUGUGGCUCAGCCAGCUGCUCUAGUCGCGACUUAGGGCAGUAGCAGAGGCCGAGGGAGAGGGAUAGCCUCUUCUUCAGCAGGUUCCUGAGGUGAAGGUCCAUCAGCUCCAGCUCGGAUCUUCACUAUGAUAC
rnacentral:lncRNA from 1 species